rnacentral:lncRNA from 1 species
UUUCUUGGAGAGCUCAGAAAGAGAAGCAGAAUGAGAGUGAUCGUGAGGGAUAGAUGGUAAGUGGGGCCUGAAAGAAUGAUGACCUUCAAUUUGAUGAUCAACCCUUUGAUGGCUAGUUUCAUGUGCAACAUGUGUCACAUGUGCUGCUGGUGGUGAGUAGUUGGAUGAACUAUAGUCAGGCUGCUGGGUACCACCACUAUGGUGCAGAUGGGUAACAUGGCUUGGCGGUGGUGGAUAUACAGUUUGUUGGUGGUAAG